UCCAGACUCCUACGGGAGGCAGCAGUGGGGGAUAUUGCACAAUGGGGGAAACCCUGAUGCAGCGACGCCGCGUGAGUGAAGAAGUAAUUCGGUAUGUAAAGCUCUAUCAGCAGGGAAGAAAAAAGACGGUACCUGACUAAGAAGCCCCGGCUAACUACGUGCCAGCAGCCGCGGUAAUACGUAGGGGGCAAGCGUUAUCCGGAUUUACUGGGUGUAAAGGGAGCGUAGACGGCAAUACAAGUCGGAAGUGAAAUACCCGGGCUCAACCUGGGAACUGCUUUGGAAACUGUAUGGCUGGAGUGCUGGAGAGGUAAGCGGAAUUCCUAGUGUAGCGGUGAAAUGCGUAGAUAUUAGGAGGAACACCAGUGGCGAAGGCGGCUUACUGGACAGUAACUGACGUUGAGGCUCGAAAGCGUGGGGAGCAAACAGGAUUAGAUACCCGGGUACCA
rnacentral:rRNA from 1 species